UCCGGAUUUAUUGGGCGUAAAGGGCUCGUAGGCGGCUCGUCGCGUCCGGUGUGAAAGUCCAUCGCUUAACGGUGGAUCUGCGCCGGGUACGGGCGGGCUGGAGUGCGGUAGGGGAGACUGGAAUUCCCGGUGUAACGGUGGAAUGUGUAGAUAUCGGGAAGAACACCGAUGGCGAAGGCAGGUCUCUGGGCCGUCACUGACGCUGAGGAGCGAAAGCGUGGGGAGCGAACAGGAUUAGAUGCCCUGGUAGUCCACGCCGUAAACGGUGGACGCUGGAUGUGGGGCACGUUCCACGUGUUCCGUGUCGGAGCUAACGCGUUAAGCGUCCCGCCUGGGGAGUACGGCCGCAAGGCUAAAACUCAAAGAAAUUGACGGGGGCCCGCACAAGCGGCGGAGCAUGCGGAUUAAUUCGAUGCAACGCGAAGAACCUUACCUGGGCUUGACAUGUUCCCGACGACGCCAGAGAUGGCGUUUCCCUUCGGGGCGGGUUCACAGGUGGUGCAUGGUCGUCGUCAGCUCCUGUCGUGAAAUGUUGGGUUAAGUCCCGCAACAACGCAACCCUCGCCCCGUGUUGCCACGCACGUUAUGGUGGGAACUCACGGGGGACCCCCGGGGUUAA
rnacentral:rRNA from 1 species